rnacentral:snRNA from 1 species
GUCUCUUUGGAAACAUCUUAUAAAAUUGGAAUGAUAUAGAGAUGAUUGACAUGGCCCUGUGCAAUGAUGAUACACACAAAUCGAAAAAAUGGUCCAAAUUUUU